rnacentral:rRNA from 1 species
AUGGUGUUUUUAGCUGCUACGAGGAAGAAACAGUUUGACGAAAGUGAUUGUCAAGAAGAAAUUCUAGAAGCUAAGAAGGCUUUCUGAGUUAAAUAUUUUAGUGUUUUGGUUGAUAUGGCGACCAAUUCUUUGAAUGAUAGAUUCAAAGAACUCGUGGAGUUUAAAGAUAUAUUCGGAUUUGUAUUGAGCUCUGGCACCCUGACAUCAUUAAGUGAUAAUUAA